UGGCUCAAAUGGUAAAGAAUCUGCCUGCAAUGCAGGAGACCCAGGUUCAAUCCCUGG
rfam:TPA: Bos taurus chromosome 8, whole genome shotgun sequence.